GUCACUUGAAGGUCUUUUGGCUAAGAUCAAGUGUAGGAUCUGUUCUUAUCAGUUUAAUAUCUGAUACGGCCCCUACCUGGGAACCAUAUAUUAAAUUGAUUUUUGAAGAAUGAGAUGGAAUAGGGAACCACUCUGUCCACGCCAUGCAUCGAUCUGGUAUUGCAGUUCUUCUGGGAAAGGUGUAUUUCCU